rnacentral:rRNA from 1 species
CCUACGGGAGGCAGCAGUUUCGAAUUAUUCACAAUGGGCGAAAGCCUGAUGGUGCGACGCCGCGUGAGGGAUGAAGGUCUUCGGAUUGUAAACCUCUGUCACCGGGGAAGAAUGGCUAUGACCUAACACGUCAUGGAUUGACUUAACCCGGAGAGGAAGCAGUGGCUAACUCUGUGCCAGCAGCCGCGGUAAUACAGAGACUGCAAGCGUUAUUCGGAUUCACUGGGCGUAAAGGGUGCGCAGGCGGUUGCGUGUGUUGGAUGUGAAAGCCUGGGGCUCAACCCCAGAAUUGCGUCCAAAACUACGCGACUAGAGUACCGGAGAGGAUAGCGGAAUUCACGGUGUAGCAGUGAAAUGCGUAGAUAUCGUGAAGAACACCAGCGGCGAAGGCGGCUAUCUGGAAGGUAACUGACGCUCAGGCACGAAAGCGUGGGGAGCAAAAGGGAUUAGAUACCCCUGUAGUCCACGCCCUAAACGGUGCACACUAGGUGUUAGCGGAUUCGACCCCGUUAGCGCCCAAGCUAACGCGUUAAGUGUGCCGCCUGAGGACUACGGCCGCAAGGCUAAAACUCAAAUGAAUUGACGG